GUCUUCUUGUUAUAUUUAGGAAGUCUGGCCUGCCCAGUGAAAUAAUUUAACGGCCGCGGUAUACUGACCGUGCAAAGGUAGCAUAAUCAUUAGUCUUUUAAUAGAGGGCUGGUAUGAAGGGUUUAACGAGGUGUUGACUGUCUCAUUUAAUUUGAAUAUUAGAAUUUAAUUUUUUAGUUAAAAAGCUAAAAUAUUGUUGGAAGACGAGAAGACCCUAUAGAGCUUUAUAUUUUUAUUAUUAAUUUAUCAUAGAUUAUUAUUAUUUAUUAUUAAUAAAAAGUAUUUUGUUGGGGUGACAAGAAUAUAUAAAUAACUUUUUUAUUUUAUUUACAUUGAUAUAUGAAUAUUAGAUCCAAUCUUAUUGAUUGUUAGAUUAAGUUACCUUAGGGAUAACAGCGUAAUCCCUCUCCAGAGUUCAUAUUUACAGAGGGGCUUGCGACCUCGAUGUUGGAUUAAGAUAAUAAUUAGGUGCAGCCGCUUAAUUAAUAGGUCUGUUCGACCUUUAAAUUCUU
rnacentral:rRNA from 1 species